UACGGAUUCGACAGGGGUAGGUCGAGCUUUGGUCGCGCGUCGAGGUUACGACUCGUAAAACGUUAUCGCCUAAUAAUAACUGGCAAAUCUUAUAAUCAACCUGCUUUAGCAGCUGCGUAAGUAGCCUAAAGCGAUCCUUCCUACCAUCGCCCGUGUGGUAGCCUUGAAGGGUCUCAAAUGAAGCGGGCUUUUGCUUCAAUCCGCAGUCUGAGGAUUGUUGCAGAAACUAAUCAGACUAGCCAUCUGGAAGCCUGUUGGUAGGCUGAAGGAAUGGCGAAAGAUAAUAUACCAACUACACGCGUAGAAGCCUAAGUGGCGAUGCCCUUGGACGUGGGUUCGAUUA
rnacentral:tmRNA from 3 species